rnacentral:lncRNA from 1 species
AUAACUAUAAAUUUUCUGAACACUGAACCAGGUGUACUCAAGAUAUUGAAGUUUAAUUCUAGUUUCAUACAUUGAAAUCAUUUAGCAUUGGAAAAUCACAAAUUCCAUCACAUUCAGAGUAGAAAAUCCUAAUUUAUAGCCAAUAAAAUGAGAAUAAAUUGAACAUGGUCCAUCAAAACAGAAACAUAAGAAGUCUGGAAUUCAACUUAACAACCCACAAGUCUUCACCUACAAAACUAGACAUGAUUCCUCAAGCUUUUUACUACUUCUCAGAUGAGUUAGGU